rnacentral:rRNA from 1 species
AUACGUAGGGGGCGAGCGUUGUCCGGAAUUACUGGGUGUAAAGGGAGCGUAGGCGGGAGUGCAAGUCAGAUGUGAAAUACAUGGGCUCAACCCAUGGGCUGCAUUUGAAACUGCAUUUCUUGAGUGAAGUAGAGGUAAGCGGAAUUCCUGGUGUAGCGGUGAAAUGCGUAGAUAUCAGGAGGAACACCGGUGGCGAAGGCGGCUUACUGGGCUUUUACUGACGCUGAGGCUCGAAAGCGUGGGGAGCAAACAGGAUUAGAUACCCUGGUAGUCCGCGCUGUAAACGAUGAUUACUAGGUGUGGGGGGACUGACCCCUUCCGUGCCGCAGUUAACACAAUAAGUAAUCCACCUGGGGAGUACGGCCGCAAGGUUGAAACUCAAAUGAAUUGACGGGG